GGAGGGGCCACAGCCCAGUGGCAGAGCAUCUGUCUUGCAUGCAGAAGGUCCCAGGUUCAAUCCCAGACAUCUCCA